AGUGAACGCUGGCGGUAGGCCUAACACAUGCAAGUCGAACGGCAGCACAGUAAGAGCUUGCUCUUACGGGUGGCGAGUGGCGGACGGGUGAGGAAUACAUCGGAAUCUACUUUUUCGUGGGGGAUAACGUAGGGAAACUUACGCUAAUACCGCAUACGACCUACGGGUGAAAGCAGGGGAUCUUCGGACCUUGCGCGAUUGAAUGAGCCGAUGUCGGAUUAGCUAGUUGGCGGGGUAAAGGCCCACCAAGGCGACGAUCCGUAGCUGGUCUGAGAGGAUGAUCAGCCACACUGGAACUGAGACACGGUCCAGACUCCUACGGGAGGCAGCAGUGGGGAAUAUUGGGCAAUGGGCGCAAGCCUGAUCCAGCCAUACCGCGUGGGUGAAGAAGGCCUUCGGGUUGUAAAGCCCUUUUGUUGGGAAAGAAAAGCAGCAGGUUAAUACCCCGCUGUUCUGACGGUACCUAAAGAAUAAGCACCGGCUAACUUCGUG
rnacentral:rRNA from 1 species